rnacentral:rRNA from 1 species
UACGUAGGGGGCAAGCGUUAUCCGGAUUUACUGGGUGUAAAGGGAGCGUAGACGGCUUGGCAAGUCAGAAGUGAAAGCCCGGGGCUCAACCCCGGGACUGCUUUUGAAACUGCUUGGCUUGAGUGCAGGAGAGGUAAGUGGAAUUCCUAGUGUAGCGGUGAAAUGCGUAGAUAUUAGGAGGAACACCAGUGGCGAAGGCGGCUUACUGGACUGUAACUGACGUUGAGGCUCGAAAGCGUGGGGAGCAAACAGG